rnacentral:lncRNA from 1 species
GCUGUACCUGGGCAGGAGGAUGUCGCCAUCCACUGCUCUGGAGCAAGUGGGGAUGGGAAGCUACUGCUUUCCUGAGGAACACAGCCAGGAAGUUCCUGCCUGAUGGCCUGUGACAGGGAAGGGGUGGAGCCUUCCAGCCCCAGUUUUGUUUGGUUUUUAAUUUUUUUUUUAACGUUUAUUCGUUUUUGAGAGACAGAGAGAGACAGAGCGGGAGUUGGCGGUGGGGGUGGGGGGCAGUGCAGAGAGAGGGAGACACAGAAUCCGAAGCAAGCUCCAGGCCGUGAGCUGUCAGCCCAGAGCCCCAUGCGGGGCUCGAACCCGCUGACCUCGAGAUCAUGACCUGGGCUGAAGUUGGACGCCCAACCAACUGAGCCAGCCAAGUGCCCCCUUCCAGCCCCAGUUUUAGGGUGAGACCUGGAGGGCGGCAGGGAAGAGGAUGGUGGCAAAGGAACGACGGGAGGACAAGCACCCACAAAGGGAGAGGGAAAGGUUCUGUGAGGCAGCAGAGUGAGGUGUAGUGGCCUCUGAUGUCACACGUAUGAGCAUUCAAAUCCCGAGCCUAGCACCUGCCAGUGGUGUGAUCUUCAGCAAGUGGACGAGUUUUCUACUAGGCCUCAGUGUCCACAUCUGUCAAAUGGGAACCCUAGAAAUAGUACCCACAUUAUAUGCAUGCGUGGGGUGGCGGUGGUGGUAUUAUGAGAAGAAACGUCAGAGCUGGCCAAAACAGUCCUUCACCUCAGUUUCGAUCCUGUCUUCCAUCCGUGCCGGGGAAGGCUUUGGCCGAGGGAUGGACGCGCACACGUGCAGCAUUUUCCUGCAGGGUCCACCCCACCCGUGGGGAGUUCGCACGAGCACGAAUGUUUGCUGCGCGCCUUUCUUUACGAGCACCCCCUCGGCUGCUCUUCACACAGGCCCGACGCGUGGCUGCGUUCUGCACGCCUGCUUUGCAGAUGAGGAGGCAGAGCUGGAAGGAGCACUUGCGGAGGCACGUCCGCGCCACGAGCCCCGCCUCACCUCACCCCUGCUCAGGGCAGAGGGCACCGGGAACAGCACCUCCUCCCCGCAGGCCGGGAGCUGUCUGUGCCUGGCUCUGACCUCCCACCAGACCGAGAGCCCCCCGGAGGGCAGGCACCGGGGCCCUUCCAGCCAAUCCGGCACAGGGCUCCGAGCAGACAAGGGUUCAUCGAGUAUGUGA